AGGACCUCGGGCUGCAGCCUCGUCAGGUUGCUAUAUGGUUUCAAAAUCGCCGGGCUCGGUGGAAAACCAAACAGCUGGAGAAGGACUAUGAGGCUCUUCAAUCCAGCUAUGGAAGCCUUAAGGUUGACUACGAAAACCUACUCAAGGAGAAGGAUUCACUAAAAGCCGAGAUUCUUCUCCUAACAGAUCAACUGCUACACAAAGAAAAAG
rnacentral:misc_RNA from 1 species